UCGUUUUGUUUUUCCUUUCCUUUUAUACAGAUUAAAAUAUAUGCAACAAUGGUAAAUAGAAAAUAGGGUAAACGAUUCUUAAUAUAUAACGAUUAUUGACUCGGAAUAGUAUUGAAGAUAAUAACGGCGGAUAGAAGAAUACUUUAAUAUUUAGGCUCAAGUUCAACGCUGACCCCUCACAGCCGUAUAUAUUUGAAACUGGUACUUGAAUAUUUUAGCUCUGCUGGCCUUUUUCAACCAAGCAACCGAAUAUUUCGUUUCAACCGAAUUUCCCACGGGAAUCACCAACUAUAAAUUGUCUGAUGUACAGCCGGUAUAAAUUACAUUUGUUCACAGCCGGUUUAUAUAUUUACGAAGCUACUAAUAAACAGUCUGAUUAACGAUCAACGUACAUCGAAAGAGCUAUAUCUAUCAUUUAUUGUCAAUAUUAACAAAGAUAAAAUAUUUAUGUAAGUUUUAUCAAGCUUAUAUUUGCUGUUUCAACGACUCAAAAAUCUUCACUUUAUCAUUUACAAGCAACAGUUUCUAGGAACACAUACGUAACGUCUUUAUAAUAAGUAACUAUGAGAACAUUCGCAACAAAAUUACGACACUUUCGAGGAAUCGUACGGUGUGUAUAGACGGUGUAUUUUCCCCGCGAAUUUCCCUUGAUGGCGCGAUGAUCGAUUCCAACAACGCCCAAGUUUAUGUUUUCGAGAUCAGUGUAACAGAUAUAGAAAUGAACGUUAUAUGCCUAUCUAAUGCAAAAUGGUUUCGGAUUACAAGAUGUACGAAGAAAAUAAGUUUCGCGUUAGAGAGAGAAUAGACAUUUUAUCUGGCAGUAACCGUACAUCCUUCCAAACGUGACCCGCAUUCGUCUUUUUCAUAAUCUUAUGAAAGAAAAUGAACCAGAAGCUAAUCUGAUAAGUAGCAGUCAAAGGAUGAACGUACACGUAUACAGGAUAUCACAAGCGCAUGCUUUUCAAUUUCGAUGCAUGUGAAUAAUGUAACGAAUAGAAUCGCGGAUGAACAGACGUUCGGUCGUCGGAGAAAAUUUACAUACAUUUAUCUGUAAUGAAUCACGUUUAUAAACUCAACCGUACAGAAUGUAAUUAAGAAUGUAAAUUAAUAUUGCGCACGAGACGAGAUUAAUGUACCAUCCUUACUAAGAAAUGUUUGCAACGCUCAUUUUAAUUAUAUAUCCUUUUUAACCAGUCGACUUAAUACCAUAAUAUAUAGUUUGGCAAAAAAUUUGUUUAGCUCUUGGAACACCACCCAAAUAUUUAAAAAAUAACAAUUGAUAUCAAAUCACUUCCAGAUAUUACAGUGUUAUUGACACUUGAUAGAAAGCUGAACUCGAGUUAGAUUGCACAUUGCGAAUGAAAAUGUUGAAUGAAUUCACGAGAUUCGUAAGGGUGGAGGUGUCUACCCUCUAAAACAGUCUACUUUAGAAGCAGCCGGCGCAAUGCUCUACUGCUUUAGGUUUCGACCGGCACUCUGCGGUGCUGCCACAGGGUGGUCAAGACCCGAAAUUGUUGCAGGUUCCUUAGGUAAAGAGCCACGUGCAGCGCAGGACUUUCGAAAUCUAACUUCGUUUCUAACAGGGCCGUCAAACUUUAACCCGUAACUGUUCUUCGCAGCAACUAGAAGUCCAACGGAUUACUAAUUCAGUCGAAUACAUGAAUGUAACUAUCAACAGAGAUGUUAGUCAAUAAAUAAAAUCGUAAGAUCUGGUUUAGUAUAAAAUUA